rnacentral:rRNA from 1 species
AUUGAACGCUGGCGGCAUGCUUUACACAUGCAAGUCGAACGGUAACAGGCCGCCAGGUGCUGACGAGUGGCGAACGGGUGAGUAAUGCAUCGGAACGUGCCCAGUCGUGGGGGAUAACUACUCGAAAGAGUAGCUAAUACCGCAUACGAUCUAUGGAUGAAAGCGGGGGACCGUAAGGCCUCGCGCGAUUGGAGCGGCCGAUGUCAGAUUAGGUAGUUGGUGGGGUAAAGGCUCACCAAGCCAACGAUCUGUAGCUGGUCUGAGAGGACAACCAGCCACACUGGGACUGAGACACGGCCCAGACUCCUACGGGAGGCAGCAGUGGGGAAUUUUGGACAAUGGGCGCAAGCCCGAUCCAGCAAUGCCGCGUGCAGGAAGAAGGCCUUCGGGUUGUAAACUGCUUUUGUACGGAACGAAACGGCUCUGGUUAAUACCCGGGGCUAAUGACGGUACCGUAAGAAUAAGCACCGGCUAACUACGUG